rnacentral:rRNA from 1 species
UGAGUAACGCGUAUGCGACCUGCCCGUUGCAGGGGGGAUAAUCGGGAGAAAUCCCGUCUAAUACCGCGUAACGCCGCGGGGCUGCAUGGCCCUGCGGCCAAAGGGAGCGAUUCCGGCAACGGAUGGGCAUGCGUGACAUUAGCUAGUUGGCGGGGCAACGGCCCACCAAGGCGACGAUGUCUAGGGGUUCUGAGAGGAAGGUCCCCCGCACUGGUACUGAGACACGGACCAGACUCCUACGGGAGGCAGCAG